AUUGAACGCUGGCGGCAUGCCUUACACAUGCAAGUCGAACGGCAGCACGGGUGCUUGCACCUGGUGGCGAGUGGCGAACGGGUGAGUAAUGUAUCGGAACGUACCAUUCAGUGGGGGAUAACGUAGCGAAAGUUACGCUAAUACCGCAUAUUCUCUGAGGAGGAAAGUAGGGGAUCGCAAGACCUUGCGCUGAUUGAGCGGCCGAUAUCGGAUUAGCUAGUUGGUGAGGUAAAGGCUCACCAAGGCGACGAUCCGUAGCUGGUCUGAGAGGAUGAUCAGCCACACUGGAACUGAGACACGGUCCAGACUCCUACGGGAGGCAGCAGUGGGGAAUUUUGGACAAUGGGGGCAACCCUGAUCCAGCCAUGCCGCGUGAGUGAAGAAGGCCUUCGGGUUGUAAAGCUCUUUCGCGAGGGAAGAAAGCGCAACGGUUAAUAGCUUCACCGAUUGACGUUACCCGCAGAAGAAGCACCGGCUAACUCCGUGCCAGCCGCCGCCGUAA
rnacentral:rRNA from 1 species